rnacentral:rRNA from 1 species
GAGUUUGAUCCUGGCUCAGGAUGAACGCUAGCGGCAGGCCUAACACAUGCAAGUCGAGGGGCAGCACGGGUAGCAAUACCUGGUGGCGACCGGCGCACGGGUGCGUAACGCGUAUGGAACCUACCCUCCGCCAGGGGGAUAGCCCGCCGAAAGGCGGAUUAAUACCCCAUAGUUCCCCCGGACCACCUGGUCUGGGGGGUAAAGCUACGGCGGCGGGGGAUGGCCAUGCGUGCCAUUAGCUUGUUGGCGGGGUAACGGCCCACCAAGGCGACGAUGGCUAGGGGGUCUGAGAGGAUGGUCCCCCACACUGGUACUGAGACACGGACCAGACUCCUACGGGAGGCAGCAGUGAGGAAUAUUGGUCAAUGGGCGGAAGCCUGAACCAGCCAUGCCGCGUGCAGGAUGACGGCCCUACGGGUUGUAAACUGCUUUUGCGCGGGAAGAAUAACCCCCUCGUGAGGGGGGAUGCCGGUACCGCGCGAAUAAGGAUCGGCUAACUCCGUGCCAGCAGCCGCGGUAAUACGGAGGAUCCGAGCGUUAUCCGGAUUUACUGGGUUUAAAGGGUGCGUAGGCGGGCGCCUAAGUCAGCGGUGAAAGGCAGCGGCUCAACCGUUGAACUGCCGUUGAAACUGGGCGCCUUGGAUUCGGUCGAGGUUGGCGGAAUGCGUGGUGUAGCGGUGAAAUGCUUAAAUAUCACGCGGAACGCCGAUUGCGAAGGCAGCUGACAGGCCUGAAUCGACGCUGAGGCACGAAAGCGUGGGGAUCCAACAGGAUUAGAUACCCUGGUAGUCACGCCGUAACGAU